ensembl:misc_RNA Metazoa_SRP Metazoan signal recognition particle RNA
GCUGGGUGUGGUGGCUCAUGCCUGUAAUCCCAGCACUUUGGGAGGCUGAGGCGGGCGGAUCACUUGGGGCCAGGAGUUCAAGACCAGCCUGGCCAACAUAGUGAAACCCCGUCUCUA